rnacentral:rRNA from 1 species
GACGAACGCUGGCGGCGUGCUUAACACAUGCAAGUCGAACGGAAAGGCCCUGCUUUUGUGGGGUGCUCGAGUGGCGAACGGGUGAGUAACACGUGAGUAACCUGCCCUUGACUUUGGGAUAACUUCAGGAAACUGGGGCUAAUACCGGAUAGGAGCUCCUGCUGCAUGGUGGGGGUUGGAAAGUUUCGGCGGUUGGGGAUGGACUCGCGGCUUAUCAGCUUGUUGGUGAGGUAGUGGCUUACCAAGGCUUUGACGGAUAGCCGGCCUGAGAGGGUGACCGGCCACAAUGGGACUGCGAUAGGGCGCAGACUCCUACGGGAGGCAGCAGUGGGGAAUAUUGCAGAAUGGGCGGAAGCCUGAUGCAGCAACGCCGCGUGCGGGAUGACGGCCUUCGGGUUGUAAACCGCUUUCGCCUGUGACGAAGCGUGAGUGACGGUAAUGGGUAAAGAAGCACCGGCUAACUACGUG